rnacentral:rRNA from 1 species
AACAGAGGGUGCAAACGUUGUUCGGAAUCACUGGGCGUAAAGCGCACGUAGGCGGAUGUGUCAGUCAGGGGUGAAAUCCCGGAGCUCAACUUCGAAACUGCCUUUGAUACAGCACAUCUGGAGUCCGGAAGAGGUGGGUGGAAUUCCUAGUGUAGAGGUGAAAUUCGUAGAUAUUAGGAAGAACACCGGUGGCGAAGGCGGCCCACUGGUCCGGUACUGACGCUGAGGUGCGAAAGCGUGGGGAGCAAACAGG